AGCAUGUGCUUUAAUUUGAAGCAACGCGAAGAACCUUACCAGGUCUUGACAUCCUCUGACAAUCCUAGAGAUAGGAGGUCCCCUUGGGGGGCAGAGUGACAGGUGGUGCAUGGUUGUGGUCAGCUGGUGUCGUGAGAUGUUGGGUUAAGUCCCGCAACGAGCGCAACCCUUGAUCUUAGUUGCCAGCAUUCAGUUGGGCACUCUAAGGUGACUGCCGGUGACAAACCGGACCUAGGUGGGGAUGACGUCAAAUCAUCAUGCCCCUUAUGACCUGGGCUACACACGUGCUACAAUGGACAGAUCUUUGCCGUGCGAAACCGCGAGGUUAAGCCAAUCCCACAAANCACAAGAGUCAAGGAUGGCAGUCUGCAACUGGAGUGCGUGAAGCUGGAAUCGCUAGUAA
rnacentral:rRNA from 1 species